GCUGGCGGCGUGCCUAACACAUGCAAGUCGAGCGAGAAAGUCCCUUCGGGGGCGAGUAAAGCGGCGCACGGGUGAGUAACACGUGAGCAAUCCACCCUCAGGUGGGGGAUAACGUUCCGAAAGGAGCGCUAAUACCGCGUGAGACCACGUCCUCUUCGGAGGAUGCGGCCAAAGGGGCUGGUCAUUAGGCCAGUUUCGCCGGAGGAGGAGCUCGCGGCCCAUUAGCUAGUUGGUGAGGUAACGGCUCACCAAGGCCGAGAUGGGUAGCUGGUCUGAGAGGAUGAUCAGCCACACUGGAACUGAGAUACGGUCCAGACUCCUACGGGAGGCAGCAGUGGGGAGUUUUGCGCGAUGGGCGAAAGCCUGGCGCAGCAACGCCGCGUGAGUGAUGAAGGCCUUUGGGUUGUAAAGCCCUGUCUGGAGGAAAGAAUAUUUUGCAGUAAUGUGCAAGGUUGAUGGUACCUCUAGAGGAAGCACUGGUUAACUCCGUGCCAGUAGUUGUGGUAAUACGGAGAGUGCAAGCGUUGUUCGGAAUUACUGGGCGUAAAGCGCGUGUAGGCGGCUGGGUUAGUCGGAUGUGAAAUUCCUCGGUUUAACCGAGGAAGUGCAUUCGAUACUGCCCGGCUUGAGUACGGGAGGGGGGAGUGGAAUUCCCAGUGUAGAGGUGAAAUUUGUAGAUAUUGGGAGGAAUAUUAGUGGUGAAGGUGAUUCCCUGGACCGAUACUGAUGCUGAGACGCGAAAGCGUGGGUAGUAAAUAGGAUUAGAUAUCCUGGUAGUCCACGCUGUAAAUGAUGGGCACUAGAUGCUGCGGGUAUUGACCCCUGCGGUGUUGUAGUUAAUAUGUUAAGUGCCCCGCCUGGGAAGUAUGGCCGCAAGGUUAAAACUCAAAGGAAUUGACGGGGGCCCGCACAAGCGGUGGAGCAUGUGGUUUAAUUUGAUGCAAUGCGAAGAAUUUUACCCAGGUUUGACUUUCCGGGAAUCCCCUGGAAACAGGGGAGUGCCCUUUGGGGAACCCGGAGAUAGGUGCUGUAUGGCUGUCGUCAGCUCGUGUUGUGAGAUGUUGGGUUAAGUUUCGCAACGAGUGUAACCCCUGUUCUUAGUUGUUAUCAUUAAGUUGAGUACUCUAAGGAGACUGCCGGUGUUAAACCGGAGGAAGGUGGGGAUGACGUUAAGUCCUUAUGGCCUUUAUGCCUGGGGUUAUACACGUGCUACAAUGGCCGGUAUAAAGUGUUGCAAACUCGUGAGGGGGAGCUAAUUGUAAAAAACCGGUCUUAGUCCAGAUUGGAGUUUGUAAUUUGACUCCAUGAAGUCGGAAUCGCUAGUAAUCGCGCAUUAGUAUGGCGCGGUGAAUAUGUUUUUGGGCCUUGUAUAUAUCGCCCGUCACACCAUGGGAGUUGGCUGCAGUAGAAGUUGCUGAGUUAAUCCGUAGGGGGGGUAAGCGCCUAAAUUGUGGCCAGCGACUGGGGUGAAGUUGAAAUAAGGUA
rnacentral:rRNA from 1 species